UACGUAGGUGGCAAGCGUUGUCCGGAUUUACUGGGCGUAAAGAGCGCGCAGGCGGUCGUUCAAGUCGCGUGUGAAAGCCCCCGGCUCAACUGGGGAGGGUCACGCGAUACUGAUCGACUCGAAGGCAGGAGAGGGAAGUGGAAUUCCCGGUGUAAUGGUGAAAUGCGUAGAUAUCGGGAGGAACACCAGUGGCGAAGGCGACUUCCUGGCCUGUUCUUGACGCUGAGGCGCGAAAAGCUAGGGGGAGCAAACGGGG
rnacentral:rRNA from 1 species